rnacentral:rRNA from 1 species
CAAUAGCGUAUAUUUAAGUUGUUGCAGUUAAAAAGCUCGUAGUUGGAUUUCGGAUGGGACUUGCCGGUCCGUCGUUUCGAUGUGCACUGGCCAGUCCUAUCUUGUUGUCGGGGACUAGCUCCUGGGCUUCACUGUCCGGGACUAGGAGCUGACGAGGUUACUUUGAGUAAAUUAGAGUGUUCAAAGCAAGCCUACGCUCUGAAUACAUUAGCAUGGAAUAACACGAUAGGACUCUGGCUUAUCUUGUUGGUCUGUGAGACCAGAGUAAUGAUUAAGAGGAACAGUCGGGGGCAUUCGUAUUCCAUUGUCAGAGGUGAAAUUCUUAGAUUUAUGGAAGACGAACAUCUGCGAAAGCAUUUGCCAAGGAUGUUUUCAUUGA